AGUCUUACAUAUAUUUUUUUUCUUACACAUGGGUUAUUACUACACCACAUUUUUAUAUUUACUUAAUGUAACACCCCAUUAUCCUCCACUAAUAUUUUCUUUUCCCUACCACUAAUCUUUUUCCCUACCAUCACUAAUAUUUUCUUUUCCCUACCACUACUCCUACCUCUCCACCACACUACUCCUUUUCCCCCACCACUACAUUCUUUCUCCCACUCUCACAACUUUUCUCCCACCAUUAUCACACUCCAUAGAAGCCUUUGAAGCCCCAAGAGAAGUAGCAAAGUAAGGGAGAGUGUGGGAAAACUAUAGAGUGAAGGUUGUGCUUCGAGGGUCCGGGCGACAGAAAGUGAAGCCGAAGAAGAAACUACUCCACGCCAGCUUUAAGAACAAUUGAGGUUGAGCAGGCGAUGGAAUGGAUCGGUGUUGAGCGGAUUUCCCUUUUGAUGUUUAUGUAAUGAAACCUUGAGUAUGCAUCUCCAUAUGCAUAACUCACACGUUUUUUUCGCUGCAAACACUCUGACUUAUUUAUCAUUUCUACUUGAACUUAUUACUACUUCAUUUUAAUUAACUUUCAGUUGGGGUCUAGUCGUUAUGGCAGACUCAUUUGUGAAUUACCCAAGUGGUUAUAUAUAUAUACCACUAGUUUGUUAUUAAUGUUGGUUACUUAGUAAA